rnacentral:tRNA from 1 species
GCCUGGGUGGCUCAGUCGGUUAAGCGUCCGACUUCGGCUCGGGUCAUGAUCUCGCGGUUCGUGGGUUCGAGCCCCGCGUCGGGCU